rnacentral:rRNA from 1 species
UACGAAGGGGGCUAGCGUUGCUCGGAAUCACUGGGCGUAAAGCGCACGUAGGCGGACUCUUAAGUCAGGGGUGAAAUCCUGGAGCUCAACUCCAGAACUGCCUUUGAUACUGAGAGCCUUGAGUCCGGAAGAGGCGAGUGGAAUUCCGUGGUGUAGCGGUGAAAUGCGCAGAUAUCAGGAAGACACCCGUGGCUAAGGCGGCUCUCUAGUACGGUACUGACGCUGAGACGCGAAAGCGUGGGGAGCGAACAGG